CUCCCUUCCACUCCUCCACCCAUCCCCAAACCAACAGAUUAUUUAAGUGUUCUGCUCUGAUUAUGUCAUGGCUUCACUGAAUAAAUCUGGCUUUAACUUAAUAAAAUUCUACCAUGGAAGAAGAUGCACAGAAAUUUCACCGAGCUGUUUGUGACUCACAACAUUGAAAGUACAAUAGCCCUUGCUAAUGAGAAAAGAGAGAGAGAAAUGGGAAUUGAUGCCAACCUUCUCCCUGUUCCUGCAGUCAUUUUUGAGUUAUCGAGGAAGUAAGGAAAGAAGAAUUGAAAUUGUGAAGGAGGACUAUAAUGUGAAGGAG
rnacentral:lncRNA from 1 species